rnacentral:rRNA from 1 species
UACGUAGGUGGCAAGCGUUGUCCGGAUUUAUUGGGUUUAAAGGGUGCGUAGGCGGCUUUGUAAGUCAGUGGUGAAAUAUGGCAGCUCAACUGUCAGGGUGCCAUUGAUACUGCAGAGCUUGAGUACAGAUGAGGUAGGCGGAAUUGACGGUGUAGCGGUGAAAUGCUUAGAUAUCGUCAAGAACACCGAUAGCGAAGGCAGCUUACUAAACUAUAACUGACGCUGAGGCACGAAAGUGCGGGGAUCAAACAGG